rnacentral:sRNA from 1 species
CACACAUAAACCGGCACAUGGUUCUGGGUGUUGGGGGUCUGCUUUAAGACUUCUGAUCGAAUCGUGGUUUCUAUUUUUCUUUUACAAAAAGUUUAAGUAGAACGGGGGUUUAUGGAGGCCUAACCCAUACAAAGGAAAUUAAA